UAUUUUAUCAGGACAAUAAUGAUCAGCAAAUUAUAAGUUUUCAAAUAAUACUUUACAGGGCAUAAUUUGUUUAAAAUCCAUUAUUACAAUUGGAAGUAACAGA